AUCUAUCCACCAAAGUUCAAAUGAAAAGAAUGUAAGCAAUUAUAGGUAACUGUACAGCCUUCAAACAAAACAAUUCAAAUAAGGUACAGUUGGCUUUAAAAGGCCCUGACAUGAAAAAUAUGAAACAAUUCAAUGGAAAAAAAAGUAACAACCUAUUAUAUAUUUAUAAACCUAAUUUAUAACAAAACAAUUAAGAAAAACAAAUAUGAUAGACUGAAACCAACGACAAACAUUGAACUAUCUGCACCUGGAUUGGAAUAGACACAUAAAGAAGAAUAAGGCAGGGUUAAACAUGUUUGUGAGAUCUCAACCCUCUUCAUAACCUUGGAUAGUGGUGUAACAACACAAUAUAGAACAACCAAUAAAUAUCAGCAGAAAAAGGCUGAAGUCAUCAGAUCAUUACAAGGUAGAAAGUAUCAAACAAAACACAGACUAAAC
rnacentral:lncRNA from 1 species